rnacentral:rRNA from 1 species
GACGAACGCUGGCGGCGUGCUAAAAACAUGCAAGUCGAACGGAAAGGCCCUGCUUUUGUGGGGUGCUCGAGUGGCGAACGGGUGGGUAACACGUGAGUAACCUGCCCUUGACUUUGGGGUAACUUCAGGAAACUGGGGCUAAUACCGGAUAGGAGCUCCUGCUGCAUGGUGGGGGUUGGAAAGUUUCGGCGGUUGGGGAUGGACUCGCGGCUUAUCUGCUUGUUGGUGGGGUAGUGGCUUACCAAGGCUUUGACGGGUAGCCGGCCUGAGAGGGUGACCGGCCACAUUGGGACUGAGAUACGGCCCAGACUCCUACGGGAGGCAGCAGUGGGGAAUAUUGCACAAUGGGCGGAAGCCUGAUGCAGCAACGCCGCGUGCGGGAUGACGGCCUUCGGGUUGUAAACCGCUUUCGCCGGUGACGAAGCGUGAGUGAAGGUAAUGGGUAAAGAAGCACCGGCUAACUACGUG